UACGGAGGGAGCUAGCGUUGUUCGGAAUUACUGGGCGUAAAGCGCACGUAGGCGGCUUUGUAAGUUAGAGGUGAAAGCCCGGAGCUCAACUCCAGAACUGCCUUUGAUACUGGCGAUCUCGAGUCCGGGAGAGGUGAGUGGAACUGCGAGUGUAGAGGUGAAAUUCGUAGAUAUUCGCAAGAACACCGGUGGCGAAGGCGGCUCACUGGCCCGGUACUGACGCUGAGGUGCGAAAGCGUGGGGAGCAAACAGG
rnacentral:rRNA from 1 species